UUAAGUUAUUAAGGGCGCACGGUGGAUGCCUUGGCACUAGAAGCCGAUGAAGGACGUUACUAACGACGAUAUGCUUUGGGGAGCUGUAAGUAAGCUUUGAUCCAGAGAUUUCCGAAUGGGGAAACCCAGCAUGAGUUAUGUCAUGUUAUCGAUAUGUGAAUACAUAGCAUAUCAGAAGGCACACCCGGAGAACUGAAACAUCUUAGUACCCGGAGGAAGAGAAAGAAAAUUCGAUUCCCUUAGUAGCGGCGAGCGAAACGGGAAGAGCCCAAACCAACAAGCUUGCUUGUUGGGGUUGUAGGACACUCUAUACGGAGUUACAAAGGACGACAUUAGACGAAUCAUCUGGAAAGAUGAAUCAAAGAAGGUAAUAAUCCUGUAGUCGAAAAUGUUGUCUCUCUUGAGUGGAUCCUGAGUACGACGGAGCACGUGAAAUUCCGUCGGAAUCUGGGAGGACCAUCUCCUAAGGCUAAAUACUCUCUAGUGACCGAUAGUGAACCAGUACCGUGAGGGAAAGGUGAAAAGCACCCCGGAAGGGGAGUGAAAUAGAACCUGAAACCGUGUGCUUACAAGUAGUCAGAGCCCGUUAAUGGGUGAUGGCGUGCCUUUUGUAGAAUGAACCGGCGAGUUACGAUUUGAUGCAAGGUUAAGCAGUAAAUGUGGAGCCGUAGCGAAAGCGAGUCUGAAUAGGGCGUUUAGUAUUUGGUCGUAGACCCGAAACCAGGUGAUCUACCCUUGGUCAGGUUGAAGUUCAGGUAACACUGAAUGGAGGACCGAACCGACUUACGUUGAAAAGUGAGCGGAUGAACUGAGGGUAGCGGAGAAAUUCCAAUCGAACCUGGAGAUAGCUGGUUCUCUCCGAAAUAGCUUUAGGGCUAGCCUCAAGUGAUGAUUAUUGGAGGUAGAGCACUGUUUGGACGAGGGGCCCCUCUCGGGUUACCGAAUUCAGACAAACUCCGAAUGCCAAUUAAUUUAACUUGGGAGUCAGAACAUGGGUGAUAAGGUCCGUGUUCGAAAGGGAAACAGCCCAGACCACCAGCUAAGGUCCCAAAAUAUAUGUUAAGUGGAAAAGGAUGUGGCGUUGCCCAGACAACUAGGAUGUUGGCUUAGAAGCAGCCAUCAUUUAAAGAGUGCGUAAUAGCUCACUAGUCGAGUGACACUGCGCCGAAAAUGUACCGGGGCUAAACAUAUUACCGAAGCUGUGGAUUGUCCUUUGGACAAUGGUAGGAGAGCGUUCUAAGGGCGUUGAAGCAUGAUCGUAAGGACAUGUGGAGCGCUUAGAAGUGAGAAUGCCGGUGUGAGUAGCGAAAGACGGGUGAGAAUCCCGUCCACCGAUUGACUAAGGUUUCCAGAGGAAGGCUCGUCCGCUCUGGGUUAGUCGGGUCCUAAGCUGAGGCCGACAGGCGUAGGCGAUGGAUAACAGGUUGAUAUUCCUGUACCACCUAUAAUCGUUUUAAUCGAUGGGGGGACGCAGUAGGAUAGGCGAAGCGUGCGAUUGGAUUGCACGUCUAAGCAGUAAGGCUGAGUAUUAGGCAAAUCCGGUACUCGUUAAGGCUGAGCUGUGAUGGGGAGAAGACAUUGUGUCUUCGAGUCGUUGAUUUCACACUGCCGAGAAAAGCCUCUAGAUAGAAAAUAGGUGCCCGUACCGCAAACCGACACAGGUAGUCAAGAUGAGAAUUCUAAGGUGAGCGAGCGAACUCUCGUUAAGGAACUCGGCAAAAUGACCCCGUAACUUCGGGAGAAGGGGUGCUCUUUAGGGUUAACGCCCAGAAGAGCCGCAGUGAAUAGGCCCAAGCGACUGUUUAUCAAAAACACAGGUCUCUGCUAAACCGUAAGGUGAUGUAUAGGGGCUGACGCCUGCCCGGUGCUGGAAGGUUAAGAGGAGUGGUUAGCUUCUGCGAAGCUACGAAUCGAAGCCCCAGUAAACGGCGGCCGUAACUAUAACGGUCCUAAGGUAGCGAAAUUCCUUGUCGGGUAAGUUCCGACCCGCACGAAAGGCGUAACGAUUUGGGCACUGUCUCAACGAGAGACUCGGUGAAAUCAUAGUACCUGUGAAGAUGCAGGUUACCCGCGACAGGACGGAAAGACCCCGUGGAGCUUUACUGUAGCCUGAUAUUGAAAUUCGGCACAGCUUGUACAGGAUAGGUAGGAGCCUUUGAAACGUGAGCGCUAGCUUACGUGGAGGCGCUGGUGGGAUACUACCCUAGCUGUGUUGGCUUUCUAACCCGCACCACUUAUCGUGGUGGGAGACAGUGUCAAGCGGGCAGUUUGACUGGGGCGGUCGCCUCCUAAAAGGUAACGGAGGCGCUCAAAGGUUCCCUCAGAAUGGUUGGAAAUCAUUCAUAGAGUGUAAA
rnacentral:rRNA from 1 species